rnacentral:lncRNA from 1 species
GCUUGACUUCAGGUGAUGUAGCUCCCACCUGGCCAGGUAAACUUCAUGUCAUCUGCAAAAACAAUAUCUUUGCUCCUCUCAAGUUCUGACUGAGGCUAGAACAUCCAGAAUAAUCCAGAUUUUGCUGUUCAUCUCAAAACAAGUAGAAGUGCCAAGAUUCAUAUCCAUGGACUUUGGUGCCAGAACACAUGUUUGAAACCACUAUACAAG